GCAUGGAACACGGCGAGUCCCCAGGACCGCGUCAGCUUCGAUCGUUACGGAAGGCGAAAUCCAAGCCCUUCAUAUUCAAUAGCUUUUCUCCAGACUACGAAUCUGGGGGUCGGGCGUUCGAAUCGCUCCGGGUGCGCCA
rnacentral:tRNA from 1 species